rnacentral:tRNA from 1 species
AGCUUUAUAUUCAUAUAAUGAUUAUAGAAUGCAAUUCUAUAGGAGUAAUGUUUAUUACUAAGGCUU